rnacentral:rRNA from 1 species
AUUGAACGCUGGCGGCAGGCCUAACACAUGCAAGUCGAACGAGUGGCGGACGGGUGAGUAAUGUCUGGGAAACUGCCUGAUGGAGGGGGAUAACUACUGGACACGGUAGCUAAUACCGCAUACCCUCAGAUGUGCCCAGAUGGGUUUAGCUUGUUGGUGGGGUAACGGCUCACCAAGGCGACGAUCCCUAGCUGGUCUGAGCGGAUGAACAGCCACACUGGAACUAAGACACGGUACAGACUCCUACGGGAGGCAUCAGUGGGGAAUAUUGCACAAUGGGCGCAAGCCUGAUGCAGCCAUGCCGCGUGUAUGAAGAAGGCCUGAGGGGUGUAAAGUAAUUUCAGCUGGGAGGCGUUACCCGCAGAAGAAGCACCGGCUAACUCCGUGCCAGCAGCCGAGGUAAUAC